rnacentral:rRNA from 1 species
CCUACGGGUGGCUGCAGUGGGGAAUAUUGGGCAAUGGAGGAAACUCUGACCCAGCAACGCCGCGUGAAUGAUGAAGGUCUUCGGAUUGUAAAGUUCUUUUCUAAGGGAAGAAGAAAGUGACGGUACCUUAGUAAUAAGCCUCGGCUAACUCCGUGCCAGCAGCCGCGGUAAUACGGAGGGGGCGAGCGUUGUUCGGAGUGACUGGGCGUAAAGAGCACGUAGGUGGUGUUGUAAGUCAUUAGUCAAAGACUAGGGCUCAACUUUAGUAAGGCUAGGGAUACUGUAAUACUAGAGUAUAAGAGAGGAAUGCAGAAUUCCUGGUGGAGCGGUGAAAUGCGUAGAUAUUAGGAGGAAUACCGUUAGCGAAGGCGGCAAUCUGGCUGGAAACUGACGCUGAGGUGCGAAAGCGUGGGUAGCAAACAGGAUUAGAUACCCGAGUAGUC